rnacentral:rRNA from 1 species
AUGCUCCAAACAAGAUUGACUUCCUAUCUUUCUUAUACAAGGCAUGCAGAAGAUGUGUGGCAAAAGUUUGCUCUGCACAAGUGCAACAUGGCUGGAAAACCUGCUGCUGUUACUUGUGUUGUGGACAGUAUGACGGACAACCUAAGGCCUACUCGUGCAGAUGCAACUGAUGUGGCAAAUGCAGUGCUGGAUGUGAUGCCAUUCUCCUUGGUGCCGAGACUCUCCGUGGGUUGUAUCCAGUUGGGAUUUAAACGGUAG